CAUUGUGGAAACUUUGUUCUUUAGGUCUUUGCAAUAAAUCUUGCUGCUGCUCACUCUUUGGGGCUGCACUACCGUUAUAAGCUGUAACACUCCCUGCAAAGGUCUGCAGCUUCACUCCUGAGGCCAGCAAGACCAUGAACCCACAGGGAGGAAUAAACAACUCUGCAAGGGAGGAACGAACAACUCCAGCUGCACCGCCUUAAGAAUUGUAACACUCACCGCGAGGGUCUGCAGCUGCUUUCUUGAAGUCGGUGUAUGUAGAAAAGGAAGGACAAUAUCUCAGGAAGGUCAGAGGCUGUAAAACUUGAAGAAAGGAGCCAAGAUCGCCAGAAAUACAGUGGUGGUAUUAUAGCAAACAUGAGAUCCUAAGUCCUUUUUCAAAGCGUGCCUGCUCCCUGCAAGAGGAGGAACAGUGGCCAACCCACUCAAUCAGCUGUUGCCAUGUGGGACCUGUGAAACCUAGCUACCAUGCAAAAAGUCUGACUGACUCGAGAUUACCAUAUUGUGAGGAAGUCCAAGCUAACCACAGGGAGGGGAACUGAGAAACCUAAACAACAGUGAAAACUGAAGUCCGAGAUAGAUGGCCCAAGCUGAGCCAUCAUGGGUGACACUACCAGGGGCCAAGACAGGUUCUCUCUAACAAGCCUGUCCAAGUCACAAAGAGCAAAUGUAAUGACGGUGAUUGAGAAGAAACGGAGUCUCACUCUGUCGGCCAGGCUGGAGUGCAGUGGCGUGAUCUCGGCUCAC
rnacentral:lncRNA from 1 species